rnacentral:rRNA from 1 species
UACAGAGGGUGCGAGCGUUAAUCGGAAUUACUGGGCGUAAAGCGCGCGUAGGCGGCUUUGCAAGUCGGGUGUGAAAUCCCCAGGCUUAACCUGGGAACUGCAUUCGAGACUGCAUUGCUAGAGUAUGGGAGAGGGCAGUGGAAUUUCCGGUGUAGCGGUGAAAUGCGUAGAUAUCGGAAGAAACAUCAGUGGCGAAAGCGACUGCCUGGACCAAUACUGACGCUCAUGUGCGAAAGCGUGGGGAGCAAACAGG